UAACUGUAGUGUUUUAAAAAUAAAUGAACUGCUAGUAUCAGUUUCACAUGGAUCUGGCUUUCAGACACACAUGCACAUGUCUGCACGCUGAUAAUGUGUGUGUGUGGGUGUGGAUGUGAAAGGAGCAGUGGGCGGCAAAAACCACACACACACAGUCGCAUCACACCUUUAAGUGUGCCUCAGGUGCAAGAGAAGAUAAAAUGGGAGAGUAUGACAUCAUGAAUGAUGUCAUGAAGGAAGCAUGUAGGAUGUAUCGCUAGCCAGAAAUAUCUGCAGGAUUGUUUAGUCUUGUUGUUGAGUUUCCCUGCUGUGAUAAGGAGCAGGGUAAACACGACCGGUGGGACCCGAUCGGGCUGCACUCACACUGGGCUGACAGCCGGCCGAGAACGCAGGCUGUGGGCCUCUCAACAACCACACGCAGGUCAGGAAACAUCUGGGUGACUGAAAGCAACAGAUGCCGUAGCCCGAUAAGGGAAGCACUCUCCACCCCACUGAACCGGCCUCUCACACGUCCAGGUGGGUCCUAACCUUGGCUGAGGCUCUCUGAAGGACUAAAUAAUCAUAUCAAGUCUUUCUUUUCAACAGAAGGGACAAACACCUGGCCAGACUGAGUGAUUAUAACUCGCAGCUAUUGUUUGGUUAUUAUUGUUCUCUGGCGGGUUUGAUCCAUUGUCUGACGGGGGUCUCUGGAGGAUCCGUCUAAAAGCGAUUAAGCCACUCUGUGUCUCUGUCUGCGUCAUCUCCUGUUUCGCUUGGGAUAUUGUUUGUUACAAGAAGUUCAAAUUAUGAAUCAAUGGCUGGUCAUUUAUGCGUGUCUCCGGUUGAGGGCGAUCGGCUUUGAACUGAUUGAAUUCACAUCCAGCCUUCUUGAUUACUCGGUGUGAAGUGCUUCAAGGAAAGGUUCACGCAACUGUUUUUGUCCAUACAAUGAGAGUCAAUGGGUUCAAAACUACUGCACUCCAUUGUCUUUCCAUAAAAUGAACAAAUUUUGGAAUUUUUUUUUCUUUUUUUUUAAUGAACUAUGUAUUUAAAGUUGACAUGAAAGGAUUUCCCCCCCCUACUGUGACACACUGCAUGAGUGAAAAGGCUUAUAAAAAAUAAAAUAAAAAAAUAAAAAAUUGUUGGGCA
ensembl:lncRNA